rnacentral:rRNA from 1 species
GACGAACGCUGGCGGCGUGCUUAACACAUGCAAGUCGAACGGAAAGGCCCUGCUUUUGUGGGGUACUCGAGUGGCGAACGGGUGAGUAACACGUGAGUAACCUGCCCUUGACUUUGGGAUAACUUCAGGAAACUGGGGCUAAUACCGGAUAGGAGCUCCUGCUGCAUGGUGGGGGUUGGAAAGUUUCGGCGGUUGGGGAUGGACUCGCGGCUUAUCAGCUUGUUGGUGGGGUAGUGGCUUACCAAGGCUUUGACGGGUAGCCGGCCUGAGAGGGUGACCGGCAAAAUUGGGACUGAGAUACGGCCAAGACUCCUACGGGAGGCAGAAGUGGGGAAUAUUGAAAAAGGGGCGGAAGCCUGAUGCAGCAACGCCGCGUGCGGGAUGACGGCCUUCGGGUUGUAAACCGCUUUCGCCUGUGACGAAGCGUGAGUGACGGUAAUGGGUAAAGAAGCACCGGCUAACUACGUG